rnacentral:rRNA from 1 species
AAGUACAGUGAUGGAAAGAUGAAAAGAACUUUGAAAAGAGAGUGAAAAAGUACGUGAAAUUGUUGAAAGGGAAGGGCUUGAGAUCAGACUUGGUAUUUUGCAAGCCNUACCNUCGUGGUGGGGUCCCCUGCAGUUUACUGGGCCAGCAUCGGUUUGGAUGGUGGGAUAAUGACUUGGGAAUGUGGCUUUGCUUCGGUAAAGUGUUAUAGCCCNNGUUGAUACCGCCNGUCUAGACCGAGGACUGCGUCUUUGACUAGGAUGUUGGCA